CGCAUCUGUGCAUGCAGCAUAUCAAUAAGCGGAGGAAAAGAAACUAACAAGGAUUCCCUCAGUAACGGCGAGUGAAGCGGGAAGAGCUCAAAUUUGAAAUCUUGAAAGGUCACCUUUCACGAAUUGUAGUUUAAAGAAGUGUUUUCUGUUACGAUCGUAAUAUAAGUUCUUUGGAAUAGGACAUCACAGAGGGUGAGAAUCCCGUCUAUGAUUGCGAUUUGUAGCUUUGUGAUACACUUUCAAAGAGUCGGGUUGUUUGGGAAUGCAGCCCAAAACGGGAGGUAAAUUUCUUCUAAGGCUAAAUAUUGGCGAGAGACCGAUAGCGAACAAGUACCGUGAGGGAAAGAUGAAAGGAACUUUGAAAAGAGAGUUAAAUAGUACGUGAAAUUGUCAAAAGGGAAGCGUUUAACACCAGUGUUGUUUUCUGAAAAUCAACCUCUGUUAGCUUUAUGCAUGUUUGUUUAGACCUAAUCAGCUAUCUUGCAUGUUCUAUUGUUUGCAGUGGUGCACUUUUCAGUUUACAGGUCAACAUCAGUUUUUUUUACCGUAAAAAAGUUAAAGAAAGGUAGCUCAUGGCUCCGGUCGUGAGUGUUAUAGUCUUUUUCCUAUGCGGUAGGAGAGACUGAGGUCUGCAGUGUAGGCUAUUUGGCUAGAUACUCAGGUGCUAUGUGAUACCAUUUCAUAAACAACUUGUUGAUUAUGUUUUGUCUAUUGCAUACUCGCUUGUACUAUCAUACCUACGCUUAGGAUGUUGAAGUCAUCGUAUCGCGC
rnacentral:rRNA from 1 species